GUCGUACGCACUGGCCCAACUGAUUGAUGGUGCUUGCACCUGAUUGACGAUGGAUCACCAGUGAGUGGCGGACGGGUGAGUAACACGUAGGUAACCUGCCCCGGAGCGGGGGAUAACAUUUGGAAACAGAUGCUAAUACCGCAUAACAACAAAAGCCACAUGGCUUUUGUUUGAAAGAUGGCUUUGGCUAUCACUCUGGGAUGGACCUGCGGUGCAUUAGCUAGUUGGUAAGGUAACGGCUUACCAAGGCGAUGAUGCAUAGCCGAGUUGAGAGACUGAUCGGCCACAAUGGAACUGAGACACGGUCCAUACUCCUACGGGAGGCAGCAGUAGGGAAUCUUCCACAAUGGGCGCAAGCCUGAUGGAGCAACACCGCGUGAGUGAAGAAGGGUUUCGGCUCGUAAAGCUCUGUUGUUGGAGAAGAACGUGCGUGAGAGUAACUGUUCACGCAGUGACGGUAUCCAACCAGAAAGUCACGGCUAACUACGUGCCAGCAGCCGCGGUAAUACGUAGGUGGCAAGCGUUAUCCGGAUUUAUUGGGCGUAAAGCGAGCGCAGGCGGUUGCUUAGGUCUGAUGUGAAAGCCUUCGGCUUAACCGAAGAAGUGCAUCGGAAACCGGGCACUUGAGUGCAGAAGAGGACAGUGGAACUCCAUGUGUAGCGGUGGAAUGCGUAGAUAUAUGGAAGAACACCAGUGGCGAAGGCGGCUGUCUGGUCUGCAACUGACGCUGAGGCUCGAAAGCAUGGGUAGCGAACAGGAUUAGAUACCCUGGUAGUCCAUGCCGUAAACGAUGAGUGCUAGGUGUUGGAGGGUUUCCGCCCUUCAGUGCCGGAGCUAACGCAUUAAGCACUCCGCCUGGGGAGUACGACCGCAAGGUUGAAACUCAAAGGAAUUGACGGGGGCCCGCACAAGCGGUGGAGCAUGUGGUUUAAUUCGAAGCUACGCGAAGAACCUUACCAGGUCUUGACAUCUUGCGCUAACCUUAGAGAUAAGGCGUUCCCUUCGGGGACGCAAUGACAGGUGGUGCAUGGUCGUCGUCAGCUCGUGUCGUGAGAUGUUGGGUUAAGUCCCGCAACGAGCGCAACCCUUGUUACUAGUUGCCAGCAUUAAGUUGGGCACUCUAGUGAGACUGCCGGUGACAAACCGGAGGAAGGUGGGGACGACGUCAGAUCAUCAUGCCCCUUAUGACCUGGGCUACACACGUGCUACAAUGGACGGUACAACGAGUCGCAAGCUCGCGAGAGUAAGCUAAUCUCUUAAAGCCGUUCUCAGUUCGGACUGUAGGCUGCAACUCGCCUACACGAAGUCGGAAUCGCUAGUAAUCGCGGAUCAGCAUGCCGCGGUGAAUACGUUCCCGGGCCUUGUACACACCGCCCGUCACACCAUGGGAGUUUGUAACGCCCAAAGUCGG
rnacentral:rRNA from 1 species